GCUGUGUCUGGGCAAUUCAGGUCAAGCCAGAUGCCAAACCCAACUCGAACACUUACAGGAAGAUCCUCAUCGUCAAGAACCUCCAAACAUCCUGUAGAAAAUCGAAAGAAGCCUAGACCCAGAAGAGCUAGAAAGUGGACCAAAAGCCUCCUUCCUCCCAGGAAGCACAAUGAAAGCUAAGAGGCAAAGAAAUGAAAAGAAUGAGAAUGCUCUACAGACAUCACAUCAGAAAGAAAACACUCGCAUGGGCCAGUAUGGAGUGGACAGAGGAACAGGAGUGACAGAGUUCAGGGGCAGAGGAAGAAGACACGGACCAGAUGAGGUGAGAAACAGCCUCCUCUGUCAGCAGGGCCCUGGCAGGGUGCUCAUUACCGUUGACUUCUCACCACCCUUCCCGCACACUAGACGAUCAGUCGAGGCUGGCUGUGGUAAUUCCAUUCG
rnacentral:lncRNA from 1 species